rnacentral:rRNA from 1 species
AGCCUGCAACUCGGCUGCAUGAAGCUGGAAUCGCUAGUAAUCGCGGAUCAGAACGCCGCGGUGAAUGCGUUCCCGGGUCUUGUACACACCGCCCGUCACACCAUGGGAGCCGGAAACGCCCGAAGCCAGCGGCCUAACCGCAAGGAGGGAGCUGUCGAAGGCGGGGCCGGUGACCGGGGUGAAGUCGUAACAAGGUACC